GACGAACGCUGGCGGCGUGCUUAACACAUGCAAGUCGAACGGAAAGGCCCUGCUUUUGUGGGGUGCUCGAGUGGCGAACGGGUGAGUAACACGUGAGUAACCUGCCCUUGACUUUGGGAUAACUUCAGGAAACUGGGGCUCAUACCGGAUAGGAGCUCCUGCUGCAUGGUGGGGGUUGGAAAGUUUCGGCGGUUGGGGAUGGACUCGCGGCUUAUCAGCUUGUUGGUGGGGUAGUGGCUUACCAAGGGUUUGACGGGUAGCCGGCCUGAGAGGGUGACCGGCCACAAUGGGACUGAGAGACGGCCCAGAAGGCUACGGGAGGCAGCAGUGGGGAAUAUUGCAGAGUGGGCGGAAGCGUGAUGCAGCAACGCCGCGUGCGGGAUGACGGCCUUCGGGUUGUAAACCGCUGUCGCCGGUGACGAAGCGUGAGUGACGGUAAUGGGUAAAGAAGCACCGGCUAACUACGUG
rnacentral:rRNA from 1 species